UUAUCGGAGAGUUUGAUCCUGGCUCAGGACGAACGCUGGCGGCGUGCCUAAUACAUGCAAGUCGAGCGGACAGAUGGGAGCU
rnacentral:rRNA from 3 species